rnacentral:rRNA from 1 species
GCCCGCUCAGAAACUACAAAGGAAUUGACGGGGGCCCGCACAAGCGGUGGAGUAUGUGGUUUAAUUCGAUGCAACGCGAAGAACCUUACCUGGUCUUGACAUCCCGGAGACCCUUAGGAAACUAGGGGGUGCUUCCAUCUGGAAGAAUCUGGAGACAGGUGCUGCAUGGCUGUCGUCGGCUCGUGUCGUGAGAUGUUGGGUUAAGUCCCGCAACGAGCGCAACCCUUGCCUUUAGUUGCCAGCAGUUCGGCUGGGCACUCUAAAGGGACUGCCGGUGUUAAACCGGAGGAAGGUGGGGAUGACGUCAAGUCAUCAUGGCCCUUACGGCCUGGGCUACACACGUGCUACAAUGGUCGGUACAAAGGGUUGCCAAGCCGCGAGGUGGAGCUAAUCCCAUAAAACCGAUCGUAGUCCGGAUCGCAGUCUGCAACUCGACUGCGUGAAGUCGGAAUCGCUAGUAAUCGUGAAUCAGAAUGUCACGGUGAAUACGUUCCCGGGCCUU